GUCUUCAUCUGUAUCUUCUGUCAUAUCCUUUAUAUUACACCAGCAUAUGCAACCUUUAACAUUCUCCCAGAAAAUAAGGAUUCCAUGGGUCUUCUGGAGACACUGGAAAACAUGGAAUUGAAUAGAGGAAGCAGCUGGCACAGAGAGGAGAGUCUGGAGAAUGCCAAGGACAGACUCCGGUGACCUCACCAAUGUUCCCCAUAUGUGGAGCACUGCAAGUCUGAGAAGCAUUCUGACAGGAACGAGGGUGAAGGGGAGAAUCAAGGUUCACUUCGCUUAAUGUCUAUGCUGGCCUGUCUU